GACGAACGCUGGCGGCGUGCUUAACACAUGCAAGUCGAACGGAAAGGCCUCUUUCGGGGGGUACUCGAGUGGCGAACGGGUGAGCAACACGUGAGUAACCUGCCCUUGACUUUGGGAUAACUUCAGGAAACUGGGGCUAAUACCGGAUAGGAGCUCCUGCUGCAUGGUGGGGGUUGGAAAGUUUCGGCGGUUGGGGAUGGACUCGCGGCUUAUCAGCUUGUUGGUGGGGUAGUGGCUUACCAAGGCUUUGACGGGUAGCCGGCCUGAGAGGGUGACCGGCCACAUUGGGACUGAGAUACGGCCCAGACUCCUACGGGAGGCAGCAGUGGGGAAUAUUGCACAAUGGGUGGAAGCCCGAUGCAGCAACGCCGUGUGCGGGAUGACGGCCUUCGGGUUGUAAACCGCUUUCGCUCAUGACGAAGCUUUGUGUGACGGUAGUGGGUAAAGAAGCACCGGCUAACUACGUG
rnacentral:rRNA from 1 species